UACGUAGGGGGCAAGCGUUGUCCGGAUUUAUUGGGCGUAAAGAGCGUGUAGGCGGCCAGACAGGUCAGCUGUGAAAACUCGAGGCUCAACCUCGAGACGUCGGUUGAAACCGUCUGGCUAGAGUCCGGAAGAGGAGAGUGGAAUUCCCGGUGUAGCGGUGAAAUGCGCAGAUAUCGGGAAGAACACCCGUGACGAAGGCGGCUCUCUGGGACGGUACUGACGCUGAGACGCGAAAGCGUGGGGAGCGAACAGG
rnacentral:rRNA from 1 species